rnacentral:lncRNA from 1 species
GUUUCAGCCAGAUGAGCUCCGUCCAGAGUCUGUCCAUGUGCAGUGGGCUGCCACCCGAGGGGGUACUGGGAGGCCAAAUGGGGGCGCCGUCAGACGAAGGGGACGUGGGGGAGGGCUGCAGCGUCCGCUCUGUGAGCCCGUCCCCGGUGGACCUGCCGGGCGCUGCGCCGGACGUCAGCCCAGCUGGGUUUGUCCUGUUGGAUGGCGACAGUGUGGACGGAGCACCGCACCACACCUCGCCCCUGGAGUCCAUCACCGAGUUGGAGGAGACACAGGAGUCUCCUGAGGGUCGGAGCACGGAGGUUGGAAUGCAGAGCUACAGUGGAAGCCCCCCGCUAAAGCUUGGGGAGAGGGAAACUAUGGCUGGGGACGCUUUGAAGGAUACGGGAGAUGUUUCCCACUCAACAGCCGGGGACACCCGAGACGAGAGGGACGAGAUGAAGACCCCGUCGGUAGAGCUUCUAAAGGCCCCGAAAGGCACCUCUUUAAAUGGAUUCUUCAGGGUAGAAUCUGGAGAAAUCACCCCAGGGGUCACUUGGGAAGGAGGAGAGAGCUGCUCCGUGAGCAGGACCCAAACACACCUGCAGCUCGGCGGACCAAAGUGGACGGAAUGCCACGAGACACGCCGUGACAUCCCCCUGCAGGACCCCCAGAAAGAGAUGAGUCAUGUGUUCCUCAAGGCAAUGGGCUCGAGGGAGAGGGUUCGAGAGCUUAGUGACGAGAGUCCUGGCCGAAGGAUCGAGCAGCCGGAGGGUGAUGUAUCUGAUGGCUCUCUUAUCGCCGUCUUGACAGAGUGCAAAUCCAAAGUGGAACAGCUGGAGGAGCUCAAGUGUACAUCGAUGGACCUGAGAGUGCAGCUCCAGGUUGCUCAGGGCACGGCGGCCUUCCUGCAGCGGCGGAUGCUGCUCCUGGAGGAGGCGCACAGGCUGAAGCAGCAGGAGGUGCUGGAUCUCACACGGGCGCUCCACGACGCAAGGGAAGCCCUGUGGGAGAAGAGCGCCGAUGCCCCCAGCGGGGCAACAGGGGGGAAACGGGAGAGCGGGGCUCAUGCCGAGGAGGCCCCGGCCAACGGCAACGCUGCGGUGCACUCUCCCACGCAGCCCCGCCCACACUCAAGGGUGUGCGCCCUUCUGUGAUCGCAGCCCGAUGGCACCAUAUCUAACACCAGCACCGCCGCCUCAUUUUGUAGAGUGUCAGUGAGGGUCCCACGGUUUCACUCCACUAGCAAAGGCUGACUUCCCUCAUCAAGUCAAGUACUGAGAUGCGGAGGUUAGAAUAAACCCCCCCACCCGGCAAGUGGAACUUUGAAU